rnacentral:rRNA from 1 species
UACGUAGGGGGCAAGCGUUGUCCGGAUUUACUGGGCGUAAAGAGCGUGUAGGCGGCCAGACAGGUCCAUUGUGAAAACUCGAGGCUCAACCUCGAGAUGUCGAUGGAAACCGUCUGGCUAGAGUCCGGAAGAGGAGUGUGGAAUUCCUGGUGUAGCGGUGAAAUGCGCAGAUAUCAGGAAGAACACCUAUGGCGAAGGCAGCACUCUGGGACGGUACUGACGCUGAGACGCGAAAGCGUGGGGAGCGAACAGG